rnacentral:rRNA from 1 species
UCGGGAAUUUUGGGCAAUGGGCGAAAGCCUGACCCAGCAACGCCGCGUGAAGGAUGAAGUAUUUCGGUAUGUAAACUUCGAAAGAAUAGGAAGAAUAAAUGACGGUACUAUUUAUAAGGUCCGGCUAACUACGUGCCAGCAGCCGCGGUAAUACGUAGGGACCAAGCGUUGUUCGGAUUUACUGGGCGUAAAGGGCGCGUAGGCGGCAAUUCAAGUCAUCUGUGAAAUCUCCGGGCUUAACUCGGAACGGUCAGAUGAUACUGCAAAUCUCGAGUCCGAUAGAGGUGAGUGGAAUUCCUAGUGUAGAGGUGAAAUUCGUAGAUAUUGGGAAGAACAUCAGUUGCGAAGGCGGCUCUCUGGACUCAAACUGACGCUGAGGCACGAAAGCGUGGGUAGCGAACAGGAUUAGAUACCCACGUAGUCCCUGAGCGGGCUGGCAAGGC